UACGUAGGGUGCGAGCGUUAAUCGGAAUUACUGGGCGUAAAGCGUGCGCAGGCGGUUCGUUGUGUCGGUGGUGAAAUCCCCGGGCUUAACCUGGGAAUGGCCAUGGAAACUGGCGAACUGGAGUGCGGCAGAGGGGGGGUGGAAUUCCGCGUGUAGCAGUGAAAUGCGUAGAGAUGCGGAGGAAUACCGAUGGCGAAGGCAGCCUCCUGGGCCAACACUGACGCUCAUGCACGAAAGCGUGGGGAGCAAACAGG
rnacentral:rRNA from 1 species